AUGAAAAACAAGCGAGUUCCAAGACUGCAGAACCAUCACGGAUGUGCGUGUACACUUGGGUGGUGUGCUGCCUCUGAAAGGGACAUUUGGUCACCUCCAAAUUGUCACAUAGCUGUCUUUGCUGGGCUCGUCUCUCUUCCCUGUUGCCCACCCGGCCGAAGGGUCUGCAACAGCUUACAUCCCAGACUAGUCUUCAUGCCAGCACUGCACAGUCCCUGGGCUGAGGCAUUUCCCCCAUUUCCUUGCACUAGCAUGGGAGGUCUGUCUUAACGAACCCUCAAACUGGUCUGCAGAGCAUUCUCAAGUAGGAUGCACACCUAAAGCAUUAAACUCAGUGGUGUGUAGCCUGGAGCAGAGAAGGUAAGCUAUGUUACCGGGGGCUCUGCUUUACAGAGAAUUCCUGACACUGGACAGGUCCUCUCAGAUGCUGGGGAGGUUCGGGGAAAGGAGGUUUUCCUCAGUUGCCUCCAGUGCUUGGGCACACGCAGGAAGGACUGAUGGCUGCUGGUCCUGGGUUUGCUGCCCACGUUCCUUAAAGCAGUGGAUGCUGGCAGGCACGUAGGACAGGCGGAAACUGAGUCAUGGCCUGAGCAGGGAGCUUUAGUGCCAGCAUUUUCCUUGGAGAUGUGCAGAUGCCUUGUGGGUGGAACGCCCCGUGCCACCUGCCCAGCUCCUUUUCUGCAGGACAUUCAUACAAGCUGCUGCAAUGUUUUGCCUGUAGGGAAUACGCUGUGUUUGCACAGUCGAGGUGUGGGGGGAGGGGGGAUUUUUACAGCCACAGAGAGCAUGCAUAUGGGCAUGCAUCAGGGGGCCUGGAUGUUGAACAGCUUGCCAUUUAAAUGCACACGCGUGCAAGCUAAUCUGCUCAGUAAUGGCUAGCUGAGCGGACAGAGCUGCAUAUUCUCUGGAGAUAAGAAAGCUCCACUCCUAGUUUCCUGACAAAAUUUCUCUAAAAACAAACAUCAUGAGAGCAGACAAGGCCUCCUCCUGGGAGCACAUACUAACUGCUCCUCAUGUCUCUCUUACUUUACAUAUGAGGAUACUUACGUGUAACUACUUCCACAUGAACUGCAUCCUUGAAUUAUUGCUUUUUAAUGACAUUGCUCAUUCCAAGUGAUGCUACUUUUGUACACUCACCAGUAUCCCAUGGAGUGUUGCAGGCAGUAAUUUGCUGCUUUAUGAGAGUCCCAUGUCUUCCAACUACCUCAUCAUCCUGAAGAUGAGUUAGGAAAUCAGCUUUCCACCUCAAUUCAUGUUCUAAAUGGCAUUGUUUCAAGGAAAGGCAGACUGGAAAGCUUUCACAAACACCAUGCUGCAAAAGAUCGCUACAGAGCUUCCCACACUUACAGGGCUACGGCUGUGAAAUAUGGCUGUACACUGUUAUCUGGGUAAUAGCAUAUCCAAGGCUUUUGCAGCUAUUGUGGUGAAGUAGCACCAGGACACGGUGCUAGAAGCAUUACAGAGGUCAGUGCAGCCAGCAUUAGGCUAAGGCAAAUGGAUUAAUAUACUCUCAGUAUAACUCAGUGCUAAGAUCCCAUAGAGUACUGUAAUAAAGUGGUACCAGGGCAGCCA
ensembl:lncRNA